rnacentral:rRNA from 1 species
UACGGAGGGUGCAAGCGUUGUUCGGAAUCAUUGGGCGUAAAGGGCGCGUAGGCUGGCCGUUAAGUCCGACGUGAAAUCCCUCGGCUCAACUGAGGAAGUGCAUCGGAUACUGGCGGUCUUGAGUCCUGGAGAGGGUAGCGGAAUUCCCAGUGUAGAGGUGAAAUUCGUAGAUAUUGGGAGGAACACCGGUGGCGAAGGCGGCUACCUGGACAGUGACUGACGCUGAGGCGCGAAAGCAUGGGUAGCAAACAGG